rnacentral:pre_miRNA from 1 species
UGAGGUAGUAGGUUGUAUAGUUUGGGGCUGUGCCCUGCUCUGGGAUAACUAUACAACCUACUGUCUUUCC